rnacentral:rRNA from 1 species
CGCGAUCGUGGCGAACGGGUGAGUAACACGUGAGCAACCUGCCCCGGACUCUGGGAUAAGCGCUGGAAACGGCGUCUAAUACUGGAUACGAGCUGCGACCGCAUGGUCAGCAGUUGGAAAGAUUUUUCGGUCUGGGAUGGGCUCACGGCCUAUCAGCUUGUUGGUGAGGUAAUGGCUCACCAAGGCGUCGACGGGUAGCCGGCCUGAGAGGGUGACCGGCCACACUGGGACUGAGACACGGCCCAGACUCCUACGGGAGGCAGCAGUGGGGAAUAUUGCACAAUGGGCGAAAGCCUGAUGCAGCAACGCCGCGUGAGGGAUGACGGCCUUCGGGUUGUAAACCUCUUUUAGCAGGGAAGAAGCGAGAGUGACGGUACCUGCAGAAAAAGCGCCGGCUAACUACGUGCCAGCAGCCGCGGUAAUACGUAGGGCGCAAGCGUUAUCCGGAAUUAUUGGGCGUAAAGAGCUCGUAGGCGGUUUGUCGCGUCUGCUGUGAAAUCCCGAGGCUCAACCUCGGGCCUGCAGUGGGUACGGGCAGACUAGAGUGCGGUAGGGGAGAUUGGAAUUCCUGGUGUAGCGGUGGAAUGCGCAGAUAUCAGGAGGAACACCGAUGGCGAAGGCAGAUCUCUGGGCCGUAACUGACGCUGAGGAGCGAAAGGGUGGGGAGCAAACAGGCUUAGAUACCCUGGUAGUCCACCCCGUAAACGUUGGGAACUAGUUGUGGGGUCCAUUCCACGGAUUCCGUGACGCAGCUACGCAUUAAGUUCCCCGCUGGGGAGUACGGCCGCAGGCUAAAACUCAAAGGAAUUGACGGGGACCCCGCACAAGCGGCGGGAGCA